CUCUAAAACCACAUUCUGUCAUCACUCCUGGGGCCCCUUUUGGAGAAGGCCCUGGGGGACUGAGUCAGGGAGGGACUAGGAGACUCCAUUUCCCCCUUAGGGGUAAAGAGAAGAAGGGAAGCAGGCCCGGAGAUGAGAAUCCGGUCUCUUGAUUGAUUAGGCACACUUUAGGCAGCGCCUACCUUGGAAGAAGCUUCUUCCACUCAUAAGACGUUUAUUGAGUUCCUUCUGCAUGCAUGAGCUAGCGAUGUAAGCACAUCUUCUAUCCUCCGUGCUACAGAUAAAUGUGUCUAGAAUGGUUCUGCAUUAAAAACAGUCACCAUAUGGGUAUGUUCUGGUUACUACUGUGCAAAGAGCUUUACCUGGUCUAUGACAGACAUAAUUUUCUUAUCAUUCAUUCAUUCAAUCUCUAUGUUUUGAACUUCUAGACGCUAGUUACUGAAGAUACAUAAAUGAGGAGGAUGCAUCUAAUCCCUGCCUAACGGCCCCAAAGGGUUUACAGUCCCGCAGGUCCUCUAGGGAGAUAGAGGUGGAGGAUCACAACUUCAAAGCCAGCAGAGACCUCUCCAGAAAAACCAUGUCAUGAGCACACAGAGGGAGGAGAAUCAAGGAUCUGGAGUUCAAGGUCUACAUACAUAAGAUUCCAGCUCAAAAUAAAACCAAACCCCAAACAAAGAAGCCACAGCAUAUUGUAAAUGCUAGCUAUACAUAACUUUCAUAAAUCCCAAAUAAAUUUUAAUUUUUAUUACACCGUA